rnacentral:rRNA from 1 species
UACGAAGGGGGCUAGCGUUGUUCGGAAUCACUGGGCGUAAAGCGUACGUAGGCGGACCAUUAAGUCGGGGGUGAAAUCCCAGGGCUCAACCCUGGAACUGCCUUCGAUACUGGUGGUCUGGAGUCCGGGAGAGGUGAGUGGAACUCCUAGUGUAGAGGUGAAAUGCGCAGAUAUCAGGAGGAACACCGGUGGCGAAGGCGGGUCUCUGGGCCGUAACUGACGCUGAGGAGCGAAAGCGUGGGGAGCGAACAGG